GGAGAAAGAACUGGGACGGCGACUUUUCUCAACCCAGGGCCAGACCCUGCGGUGUUGCUCCAGGGUGGCGCCCGGCCCCGCCCCUCCCACCUGGGCACUCUUCGGACCACGCCCCCUCGCGCCCGCCCCGCCUCCAAGACGUCAGACCCACGCGGCGCCCAGGCGGCGCGCUGACGUCCGACGCUCCAGGUACUUUCCCCAAGGCCGGCUCGGCUCAACGUGGGGGGGCGGGGCGGGGCGCGGAGCGCGCAUGCGCCACAGCGCCAGCGCUCUCCCCGGAUAGAGCGGGGCCCGAGCCUCUCCGCUCUGGAGGUUCCGCUCUUGCUCGCGUUCUCCCGACGCCAUGUCGGCCACCAUCGAGCGGGAGUUCGAGGAACUGGAUGCUCAGUGUCGCUGGCAGCCGUUAUACUUGGAAAUUCGAAAUGAGUCCCAUGACUAUCCUCAUAGAGUGGCCAAGUUUCCAGAAAACCGAAAUCGAAACAGAUACAGAGAUGUAAGCCCAUAUGAUCACAGUCGUGUUAAACUGCAGAGUACUGAAAAUGAUUAUAUUAACGCCAGCUUAGUUGACAUGGAAGAGGCACAAAGAAGUUACAUCCUAACACAGGGGCCACUUCCUAACACAUGUUGCCACUUCUGGCUCAUGGUGUGGCAGCAAAAGACCAAAGCAGUUGUCAUGUUAAACCGAACUGUAGAGAAAGAAUCGGUUAAAUGUGCACAAUACUGGCCAACAGAUGACCGAGAGAUGCUGUUUAAGGAAACAGGAUUUAGUGUGAAACUCUUAUCUGAAGAUGUGAAGUCAUAUUAUACAGUACAUCUACUGCAGUUAGAAAAUAUCAAUAGUGGUGAAACCCGAACUAUAUCUCACUUUCAUUAUACCACCUGGCCAGAUUUUGGAGUUCCUGAGUCACCGGCUUCAUUCCUCAAUUUCUUGUUUAAAGUUAGAGAAUCUGGCUCCUUGAACCCAGACCAUGGACCCGCAGUGAUCCAUUGUAGUGCAGGCAUUGGGCGCUCUGGCACCUUCUCUCUUGUAGACACCUGCCUUGUUCUGAUGGAAAAAGGAGAGGAUGUUAAUGUGAAACAAGUAUUACUGAAUAUGAGAAAGUAUCGCAUGGGACUUAUCCAGACGCCAGACCAGCUCAGAUUCUCCUAUAUGGCUAUAAUAGAAGGAGCAAAGUACACACAAGGAGAUUCAAAUAUACAGAAACGGUGGAGAGAACUUUCUAAAGAAGAUUUGUCUCCUGUUUGUGAUCAUUCGCAGAACAGAACAAUGACUGAAAAGUACAAUGGGAAGAAAAUAGGUUCAGAAGAGGAAAAACUAACAGGACUUUCUUCUAAGAUGCAAGAUAAUGUCGAAGAGAACAAUGAGAGUAUUCUACGGAAACGUAUUCGAGAGGACAGAAAGGCUACUACAGCUCAGAAGGUGCAGCAGAUGAAACAGAGGCUAAAUGAAACUGAACGAAAAAGAAAAAGGUGGUUAUAUUGGCAACCUAUUCUCACUAGGAUGGGGUUUGUGUCAGUCAUUUUGGUUGGUGCUUUGGUUGGAUGGACACUGUUUUUUCAGUGAAAUAUCCUAUAAACAAACAGUUUUACCCAGCACCUUUCUGCACUAGUAGCUGACAGUGCUGUAUUAAUCUCAAGGGUUUGUUAGCAAAUGCCUCAUACCACAAAAAUGUUGCAGUAGACUAGACAUCAACCAGAUAAGGGAUAUUUACAGUCACAAGCCCAACAUCUCAGGACUCAGCACUGCAGGUUCCUCUGAGACCUAAACUGUCAAUGACUCAAAAUAAAGACAAAGAUCCUUGUUGAAAUUGUUACAUCUUACAGCUGUGCUCACACAUCAAGCAUCAUGUGUCACUGACAGUAUCGAGAAACCCUUUAUCACAAGGAUUGGCUUUUGGAGGCUUUCUGGAUUUUUAACCUGCACUUGAUAUAAGCAAUAAACAUUGUGGUUCUUUUCUACGUUAUUAAUGGAAAGAAAAUGAUGUGUGUAAUAUGUAAUGUACUGUUGGAAUGGGCAUUACAACUUUAUAUGCUUAACCAUUUUAGGGUAAAUAUAUUUUAUAAGUACCUAUUUAAUCUUACUUUUUGUAGUUAAAUGUACUUUAAAAGUUCAAUUUGAAAAUCUGUUACCAUAGAAAAAUAAAUUGUAUGUUGACUCAGUUGUAUACUGGAUACAUUUUCCCUUUCCUAGGCAGAUGUUCAUAGAGGCAGUUGAAACUGAGCAAGCUAUUUCUACUACACUUUUUUUUUUAUUUCUUUUGUAUUUUAUGGUUUAUUUUAAAAAGAAAAGAAAACAGACAAAAAAAUUUUAAACAUGUCAUUGAAGGAAAAUUUUCCUUUUUGGGAUAGUCAAUUGACAGUUGGUUAAGACUUAGUUUUAAAAAAAAAAUCAAAAAGUUGUUUUCUGCAGGAUGUGAUGGCACGCAUGGUGCUCAGGCAGCUAAGGCGAGAGGCUCAAAAGAUUGAAGCCAGCCAAGAUUGUAAAUUUUUAAAGCAGGUUUCUGUCUUUUAAAAAUAAAAGUAAAAAAGGAGGCAGUGGAGGGGAGGUCAGAAAACAAGAAGCCUCAGCACUUGGGAGAUACAGGUAGAAGGACCACAAGUUCAAGGCCAGCCAGGACUGCAAGAAACACUGUCUCAAAAAACUGAAGUGGUUAGCAGAAAAGAAAUUGAUAUUUGUAAAGUAAAGCCCAUGCAUGACUUACACUGUUCUUUUUUUUUUUUUUCCUUUUUUGUGAAAAUGUUAAUGUAAUUACCUGAACCGGGUAACUUAUGAUUAGUAAGGAAAAGGAGCCAGUGUUUUAUAUUUAAUGAUUUCAGCUCAUUAGACUGAAAUUUUGAAGGAAAAAAAAAUCAAGUUCUUUCUAAGUUCAAUAAAUAGUAUGUUGUACAAACUUACAUUGUCCCUUACCUUUGUAAUGAGUAUUUGUAAAGCGUGUAACCACAACCACUAAUAGGGUUUGGUGGUUUCAAAGUCUUUGCUUUGGAUUUUAGGAACAUCACCCAGGUGGUCAAAGGUUCCAGACCACUAGGACAGCACCUCUCCUUUGUCUCUUAUAUAUCAUGUAAGAUUGCAUUAUAAGACUUAAUUACUUUAAAUGAAACAGUUAAUUUAACGCAGUUUGAAAACCAUAGGUUUAGGUAGGAAUUGUGAAUGGCCUUGAGAAGCAGUCUUGAAUGUGACAACCUCACUGAAAGUCUGAGAGUGGGCUAUAAGUGGGAUUGCAUAGUAAUAAAUAAGGUUAUGUAAUACAUUCCUGAGUCCUGAUUCAGUAUUACUAUGUCCUGUAACUUUGAAAUGAAGAGCAGGUAAGCAGGAUAUUUAAACAGCAAGACUCUUAUACUUUAGAAUUAGAUGGUUAUUGGUUUUGAGCCUUUUUUAUUUAUUGGGCUUGUUUUUUCCAAAAUGCAGUAUGUUAGCCUUAUUAAGAUUCCAGUUAUAGCAGGACAAGGUGAUGCACACCUUUAAUCCCAGCACUGAGGAGGCCAAGACAGGCACCCACAUCCCUGUGAACUCCAGGCUAGCCUGGUCUACAUAGCAAAUUCCAAGCCAGCCAGGGAUACACACUGAGACCCUGUCUGGAUAGCCUCAGCUUCUCCGCAGCGCCUCCCAGGAAGGCUCUGCCUUCUAGAGAUAGCAUUGAGUGCUGCUCUUUUUGCUUCUGAGAACACAUUGGGUGUAGUGAUUCCUCUGUGCCUUUCGGCAGGCAGGGCUUGUAUCCUUAAGGAUGGGUUUAACCGCAGCAGCUUUAAUAGUAUUUUUGUGCUGCUUACUCAAUAUCCAUAGCAUUUGAUUACAGUGCCCAUGGGCAUCGUCCUGGCCUGUAUGAAGUGAGCUGUGCUGCUGAGACACCAUACAAUCUUGGGUGCUAGCCAGAGAAGGGAAAUCAGUCUCUGCUUCUGCAUCUUUAACCAGCUUUAAACUGUGUGCACCAGUCUCGUGCUGUUUACUGAUUUUAACUAGUUUAAGAAUAGUUUGACGGUAACCUAAUUCUGUCCUCCUUAAUAAGUUGGGAAAAGAAAAGGUAUUUUUAAAAGGGAUUUACUAUUUAAAGAAUCCUUAAUUCCUAUCUUUUCCUGCCUUGCUUUAAUACCAUGACCAGUGGUUAUACCUGCAGUUACAUAUACCUUUCCCAGGUUAACAAGGUACAGAGUUCUGUCUGCUUACUGAUUUCUAUCUAUGGUUGCUCCAACAGGAAGUGUAAAAAUACAGUUCUUUUUUCAUAUGUAUAUGGAAAGACAAUUUUUCAUGUUCAGCAGAGACUCUACACAUUUGUCAGACUUUUUAAUCUUGGUUCUUUUAUCUUUCUAUCCACUUCGUUAUGUGUUAGCAUUUUUGUACCAAAGAUUGAACAGGAAAAGGAAGAAUCAGUAUCAAUCAGUUUCCUUUCACACAAGCUGUGCUGAAGAGUCCAAACCUGAGUUCAUUCUCCGCGCACUUGGCUUGUUCUCUUGACUUAAGCAGAGUUGAUGUUAUGAAUUCAAAAAUACGACCACAUUUUUAGUCACGGCAUGGAACAGCCCUGGUUUUCAUACCACUUCCUUCACUGCUUUCAACUCCAGCUCCAGGGUUUUCUGCCAAGCACAGGAAGACUCCUGUUGAUUCCUUAAAAAAUCUCUCUGGCUAGAUUCUCCAUAGAGACGAACCUGAUGGUAGGAAAGGACUUUGAUUGGGCAUUGUAUACAAUUCACUCAACAAACUUACAUCUCUUGAGAUGCCUAUUUAGUCGUUCCCUGAUUAAAAAUCUGCAUUGCCUUAAUUUCUACAUACAGCCACAAAUCUUUAUUUGUGGUUGCCCUUGGGUGGGUUUGUUUAUUUAUUUAUUUUUUGUUUUGUUUUGAGCUGUUUCCCAGGCCUGGCCUUAAACUCCUCAGUUCAAAUGAUCUUCCUUCUUCAGCCUGUUGAGCAGCUAACACCACAGGCACAUGCUACUGCACACAGCUUUCUGUUAUCCUGAGGAGACUGUUUGAAACUGUCGUCCUAAAUCAGAUGUCCCUAGACGUGGGGCUUUUUUUUUUUUUUUUUUUUUUUUUUUGAUUUUUCGAAACAGGGUUUCUCCAUAGUUUUUGGUUCCUGUCCUGGAACUAGCUCUUGUAGACCAGGCUGGCCUCGAACUCACAGAGAUCCUCCUGCCUCUACUGGGAUUAAAGGCGUGCGCCACCACUGCCCGCAGCCUGUUUAUUUAAAUGUUUGGAUAAGAUAUCAGGCUUUCUAGUAGGGCCAUACUUGAGUCUUGAUGAGUAGCACAGAUAGCUGUGGCAUGGAUUCUGUGUGGUCUGGUGUCAGGUAGGAAGGAAGGGCUCCUUUCAUCUGGCUGAACUUGGUCCAUCUGUUCGGUUUAGAGCAAAGUGCCAAGAGACACGCACAUUUUGUUUAUAUGCCAACAGCGAAUAAAGUCUCUUAUUUUUGAUAUUCCUUUAUAUAAUUUUGUCACAGAAUCUUAGAUACGCUUUUUUUAAAAACCUGAAAUUAAAUGUUUUUUCCUCAUAAAAUUUGUUGUCUCAUAACUUGAAAUGCAGGCCUUGGUUAUUAGCAUGUCUUAUUCCACAGAAGACCUGUUCAUUUCUUUUUUUUCCUUGAAAUCACUUGUUUGGGUCAGAUACCAUUUCUUCUUCAUGCUGGUUUUCAGUUUGUUUGUUUGUUUGUUUUGGCUUUUGAUUUUUCAAGACAGAGUUUCUCUGUGUAACAGCCCUGGCUGUCUUGGAACUCACUUUGUAGUCCAGACUGGCUUUGAACUUACAAAGAUUUGCUGCCUCUACUUCCCAAGUACUCGGGGUUUAAGGCAUGAGCCACCACAGCUGGUCUUCUGUCUUUAUCAGACAGUAUCAGCAGCCUAGCAUUCCUACCUGGGAUUGCAGCUCUAUAACUGUCCCCCUGAGGGUGGAUGGAGAAACUCAGGUUGUGUCCGUCCCCAGUCAGAGGACUUGCACAGAGCCCUUGUGUUCCUUCCUUGGCCCUGGGACAGCUUCAAGGCAUUCGGUACAAACCUACAGGGCGACCCACGUCCUUUGGAAGUUGGUUUUUCUUUUCCCCUGCUGUCACUGCUUGCAGUGUAUCAGUGCUCGAAUGGAAACCUUGAUCUGCCUGAUGGGCUUUGUGAAGGCUCACAUAAAGAGCUCUGACGGCUGUGGGCGGCCUGUCUAGAGAGCUCUGCUUGGUUGUAACGUUCACAGUGGGUUUGAGCAGCGAGUGUGAGGCCAUCUCCUAGGGUCUGCUCGGAUGCGCUCUGCUUUCACCUUGCCUGCUUUGUUGGGGGCUGCCGCCAGGAGAACUGCAUGGGAAUUUUUUGUUUUCUUUUUCUUUACAGAAACUACUUUUGAGAAGCAUCGACUUAUUCUUUGUAGUCACUCAUUAGGCAUAGAUUUUUUCAGACCCAUGAUGCUGUUGAUAUUUUAAAUGACUAUUUUAAAAAGUCUUUGAGUUUGGGAAGUUCAGGAGAGGAAGCCUGGGCCAAGAUUGACAGACACCUAAAUAUUCAUGACUUGAGACUAUUCUGCAGCUAUAAAUUUUGAACCUUUGAUGUGCAAAGCAAGACCUGAAGCCCACUCCGGAAACUAAAGUGAGGCGUGCUAACCCUGUAGAUUGCCUCACCUGUUGUCUGUUUACAAAGUAAGCUUUACAUCCAGGGGAUGAAGAACACCACCAGCAGAAGACUCGCAAACCCUUUAAUUUGAUGUGUUGUUUUUUAACAUGUAUGAAAUGUAGAAAGAUGUAAAGGAAAUAAAUUAGAAGAGACUACUUUGUAUUGUACUGCCAUUCCUAAUGUAUUUUUAUACUUUUUGGCAGCAUUAAAUAUUUUUAUUAAAUAGA